rnacentral:rRNA from 1 species
CUACGGGUUGCUCCUGUGGGGAAUAUUGCACAAUGGAGGAAACUCUGAUGCAGCAACGCCGCGUGGAGGAUGACACUUUUCGGAGCGUAAACUCCUUUUAUAUAGGAAGAAGAUGACGGUACUAUAUGAAUAAGCGCCGGCUAACUCCGUGCCAGCAGCCGCGGUAAUAAGGAGGGCGCAAGCGUUACUCGGAAUCACUGGGCGUAAAGAGCGUGUAGGCGGAUUAAAAAGUCAGAAGUGAAAUCCUAUAGCUUAACUAUAGAACUGCUUCUGAAACUCUUAAUCUAGAAUAUGGGAGAGGUAGAUGGAAUUUCUGGUGUAGGGGUAAAAUCCGUAGAGAUCAGAAGGAAUACCGAUUGCGAAGGCGAUCUACUAGAACAUUAUUGACGCUGAGACGCGAAAGCGUGGGGAGCAAACAGGAUUAGAUACCCGGGUAGUC